rnacentral:lncRNA from 1 species
CCUUCUUUUAUGGUGAGACUGGACUCCCAGAAGCACAUUGACUUCUCUCUCAUCAGUCCUUUCGGUGGUGGGCGCCCUGGAAGAGUGAAGAGAAAGAACCAAAAGGCUGCUGCAAAGAAGGCAUCUGGUGGCGAUGGAGACGAGGAAGAUGAAGAAUGAGCUCUUGUGUUUUUGGAUCUUAUACUUUGCCUAUUUUGUACUUUCUUGUUUUAUGUUACCGCAAAUUUUAUGUACCUUCGCCGGAGAUGAGGAAGAUGAAGAAUGAGCUCUUGUGUUUUUGGAUCUUAUACUUUGCCUAUUUUGUACUUUCUUGUUUUAUGUUACCGCAAAUUUUAUGUACCUUCGCGUGUUAGAAAUGUUUCUCAACAGAGUUUGGAAGAAUUUUGAGUUUAAAAGUUUGCACUUGUUAAGUACUUGUUAGGCUUUGGUCUAAAUUCAUUAGUGAAUCUGCCGACCCCUGGUAUUAAGAGAAGUUUGUCUUUGACGGAAUAUUAGAUUCUUCUCCCGUCAUUGGACAAUAAAUUGUUGUUUAUUUGAAUUCAUUUCUAAAAGACAAAGCGGUCGUUAGAAAAAUAACCUAGUUUUAAGUCCGGAGUCGAAUCAUCAUCUAUUAUAACUCAUACCAAUGGCUGCAAUGCUAUUACCAAUUCAAUCGAUUUCUAGAUGCAAGAUUUUGAACAACA